ACUCUAGUCUGGCACUGUAAGGAGACAUGAGAGGUGUAGCAUAAGUGGGAGAUGGCAACAUCGCCGGUGAAAUACCACUACUUUCAUCGUUUCUUUACUUACUCGGUUAGGCGGAGCGCGUGCGUCGUGGACUUUCAUCCCGGGUAAACGGCGGGAGU
rnacentral:ncRNA from 1 species